GACGAACGCUGGCGGCGCGCCUAACACAUGCAAGUCGAACGAGCGAGAGAGAGCUUGCUUUCUCAAGCGAGUGGCGAACGGGUGAGUAACGCGUGAGGAACCUGCCUCAAAGAGGGGGACAACAGUUGUAAACGACUGCUAAUACCGCAUAAGCCCACAGUUCGGCAUCGACCAGAGGGAAAAGGAGCAAUCCGCUUUGAGAUGGCCUCGCGUCCGAUUAGCUAGUUGGUGAGGUAACGGCCCACCAAGGCAACGAUCGGUAGCCGGACUGAGAGGUUGAACGGCCACAUUGGGACUGAGACACGGCCCAGACUCCUACGGGAGGCAGCAGUGGGGAAUAUUGCACAAUGGGGGAAACCCUGAUGCAGCGACGCCGCGUGGAGGAAGAAGGUCUUCGGAUUGUAAACUCCUGUUGUUGAGGAAGAUAAUGACGGUACUAAACAAGGAAGUGACGGCUAACUACGUG
rnacentral:rRNA from 1 species